rnacentral:rRNA from 1 species
UACGUAGGGUGCGAGCGUUAAUCGGAAUUACUGGGCGUAAAGCGUGCGCAGGCGGUUCGUUGUGUCGGCGGUGAAAUCCCCGGGCUCAACCUGGGAAUGGCAUUUGGGACUGCAAGGCUGGAGUGUGGCAGAGGAGACUGGAAUUCCUGGUGUAGCAGUGAAAUGCGUAGAUAUCAGGAGGAACACCGGUGGCGAAGGCGGGUCUCUGGGCCGAUACUGACGCUGAGGAGCGAAAGCGUGGGGAGCGAACAGG